AUGGUCUUUACCUUUGACUCCAUGCUCGUGACGUUGAACCUUUCGACUUUGUUUAUAACCUUGCUUGUGGUUGUUGCAUAUCCAUGCCUUCAUGCAUCCAUAAAACCCUUUUCACUCGAUUUUCAAGGAAUUUGGAAGUCUUUCUUUGUAAACAUCACAAGUUUCGUUAAGCUCAAUGGAUCUUGGGUGUUGAUGGGGUGA